CAGCAGCCGCGGUAAUACCGGCGGCCCGAGUGGCGGUCACUAUUAUUGGGCUUAAAGCGUCCGUAGCCGGGUUGGGAAGUCCUCCGGGAAAUCUGGCCGCUUAACGGUCAGAAUGCCGGAGGAUACUCCUAGCCUAGGGAGCGGGAGAGGCCGAGGGUAUUCCCGGAGUAGGGGUGAAAUCCUAUAAUCCCGGGAGGACCACCUGUGGCGAAGGCGCUCGGCUGGAACGCGUCCGACGGGGAGGGACGAAGGCCAGGGGAGCAAACCGGAUUAGAUACCCGGGUAGUCCUGGCUGUAAACGAUGCGGACUUUGUGUCGGACAAGCUAUGAGCUUGUCCGGUGCCGGAGGGAAACCGUUAAGUCCGCCGCCUGGGGAGUACGGCCGCAAGGCUGAAACUUAAAGGAAUUGGCGGG
rnacentral:rRNA from 1 species